CUCUAACUGUCAGGGACUGCGCAGAGGAGGAAUGGUGGAGACCACCUCCUCAGUCUGACUCUUCCAGAGAAGAAGAAGACAGUUCUGAAUUGCAACAGGUGUUUGCGGGUAGGUCACAGCUCAGAGGAAGAUGGGGGGGGAUUGGGAAAUAAUGGGAGAGGAGGAGCAAGCAGAGCUGGAGCAGCAUCUGGCUGACACGUUGUCACUAGAAAGCAUUCCAGAGCCACCAUCUCCCAGAACCUGGCAAGCCUUAAAAGUAGGAGAGCAAAGAGCUCAGAGACAGAUGGCCCUAAGUGGCAACCAUAAGGGUGGUGAUGCUGUUGACAAAUGAGGAAGUGAGAGAGAAGGGGGUUGAAGAUUUACUAGGAGUAAUGCCAUUAUUCCAUAAGGCUGCAUUUCCAAGCCUCGCUCUCUCUGUGAAUAUUGAAUAAAAUGCAGUUGGUAAGAACUUUCCUUGUCUUAUCCAUUCCUGGCAACCUACCACGAGGGUUAGAUCCUCUGAUGCCUGGCACUAACAUUAUCAUGGUUUAUACCAGAGGCGCUGUCGCAUCAUCGGGAAGGGGCUGAUCACAGAACCCAGCACAGUGUGGCUUCCUCUUUCACGCUCAAGAGAAGCCAGCCACUGAACUGCGUCAUGCUCAGCUCAGUGCUUGGCUUCCUCCAUCCCCUCAACGUUGAGGGGGUUCAGCUCCCUGACAGCAAUUGAGGGGUCCAAAAGCACAACUCUGCCCCUAGGAGUUGGCCCACCUGGUUUGUACUGACUGUGUGGCCAGGGUCAUUUUGGCUUCGUGAGAAUCAAAAUCUUGCUACCUCCUAGGCGGAGAAGCUUGUGUUGAAUAGGAUGAGCAUUGUGAAGCCUGUACUGGAGAGAAUGCCUUGAUAUAGAGAUAAAUUGGUAUGCUAUACUUAGAGUUUGUUGUUGUUUAGUCGUUUAGUCGUAUCCGACUCUUCGUGACCCCAUGGACCAGAGCACGCCAGGCACUUCUGUCUUCCACUGCCUCCUGCAGUUUGGUUAAACUCAUGCUGGUCGCUUCGAGAACACUAUCCAACCAUCUCAUCCUCUGUUGUCCCCUUCUUCUUGUGCCCUCCAUCUUUCCCAACAUCAGGGUCUUUUCCAGGGAGUCUUCUCUUCUCAUGAGGUGGCCAAAGUACUGGAGCCUCAGCUUCACGAUCUGUCCUUCCAGUGAGCACUCAGGGCUGAUUUCCUUAUAGUUUAGUUGCUAUAAAUAUGUGAUCUCAACAGCUUUCCAAGUCAUUUGAGGAAGAGUGAGGAGACGAUAAACCUCUACCUCAUCUGAUCUGCACAGAUUAGCUGGGGAUGGGGCAGCUGUGUAUGUUUCGCUAUGUGUGUUUGGGGGGAAGAGACACUCUCACCAGUGGUACACAGUUCCUAGAAGUUUGGAUAUUGGUAAAUAUGGCAUUUGGGCUAAAAAUGGUUAACCCCUUACCGUAGGUGUAGGGCCUCAAAUAAGAUGAGAAUCCAUGAGAAUGAUUUGGUAUGAAAUUUAAGCAAACACCACCACAAUACAUCUCGGUCUAAUCUUAUUUGUAUAGGCAGUAAUUGAGAAAUCUGAAAGCACACCAGGGAGAGAAAACAUAUCCUUUUGUUAAUGGCCUCAUGUGAAAAUAGUUACCCUUUGAAGAUCAUUCUGUAACUAAUAGGAAAUCCCCUCUGAAGACUAUUAAGAAGGUUUCUGCUGAAGAAUACAUCUUCAUGGCAUCAGGUUGUUGUCGUUCAUUGUGGGGUUUUUAGCAUCCGAUUGACAUUUCUCCAGAUGGUCUUUUUUCAUCCUCUCCUUCCAACCCACAAUUUUCCAGCCAAAGUUUCGUUUCUUUGCUGAAGUAGUGUCUCAGAACAGUAGGCACACAUCACCAAUUGCUUCUGAAUGAGACUUGUGCCAGAAAGCUGAAGACUUUUAACUAGUUUGGCAAAGCUGUGGUCUUAGGGUAUGAUAUUUGGCGCCCUUUCGACUGUCGGGUCAGCACUCUUGAUUAUGCCAGUGUAUAUAUUCCUCCAUGGCUGGCAGCUCUAUUCUUAACUUUCUGUGGCAGAAACAAUAUAUUUUACCAGACUCUGGCUGAAUCAUUCCAGCUGCAGCAAAUUUCCCUCACUUUUACAAGCCUUAUUGAGGGACGCCCCAUAGUUGGAAAUUGGUAUUUCUACCUUGUCUAGAAUCUUAUAAAGUUGUUCCUCUUUGCAAUGGCUUCCACACACAAACAUUCCUUCUGUUCAAUUGCUUAGGAUGAAGACAACAAUGCUUUAAAAAGGGAGAGAUUUGUUUGUGUGUUUUUUACUUUACAUAUUAUGUAUGCUCACAUAUUCUCAUUCAUUUGGCAAAUCUGAAUACUUGUGCAAGAGAUUAAAUGGCACUGGUGAUGAACUGAGGCUGUACGUUGUGCCUCAUGAUGUCACUCUUGCCUGAUGGACGAGGCAUGCUCUUCAAAAUCUGGAUUUGAUGAGAAGAUCGUACCGUUCUGUAAUAGCUUUGUUGUUUAGUCG